AGCGAACGCUGGCGGCAGGCCUAACACAUGCGAGUCGAACGAAGCCUUCGGGCUUAGUGGCGGACGGGUGAGUAACACGUGGGAACGUACCUUUUGGUUCGGAACAACUCAGGGAAACUUGAGCUAAUACCGGAUGAGCCCUUAGGGGGAAAGAUUUAUCGCCGAAAGAGCGGCCCGCGUUAGAUUAGCUAGUUGGUGAGGUAAAGGCUCACCAAGGCAACGAUCUAUAGCUGGUCUGAGAGGAUGAUCAGCCACACUGGGACUGAGACACGGCCCAGACUCCUACGGGAGGCAGCAGUGGGGAAUCUUGCGCAAUGGGCGAAAGCCUGACGCAGCCAUGCCGCGUGAAUGAUGAAGGUCUUAGGAUUGUAAGAUUCUUUUACCAGGGGCGAUAAUGACGGUACCUGGAGAAAAAGCCCCGGCUAACUUCGUGCCAGCAGCCGCAGUAACAC
rnacentral:rRNA from 1 species